AGGUGCGAUCAUACCAGCACUAAUGCACCGGAUCCCUUCAGAACUCCGCAGGUAAGCGUGCUUGGGCGAGAGUAAUACUAGGAUGGGUGACCUCUUGGGAAGUCCUCGUGUUGCACCUCU